GCUGUCGCUGGCUGCUCCGCCCUGUUUUAUGGAUGACUUCAAUAAUUUAGAGUUCAAAUUUGUUAAAUUAUCUCCAUCAAUUUAAGAUAUGUAGAAACAAAAUGAUGAAAAUGUUUUUUAAAUUAUUUUAAAAAUUUUAUAAAAUGUUUCUUGCCAGGUUAAAAAAGAAUGAAUAAAUAAAAAGAAUUGUGUGAAGAGAAAACAAAUGUAAAUUAUGACAAUAGUUCUGAAUUUUUAAAAUUAAAACCGUGACGUAAAAUGCAAUAAAAUAAAGAAAAAGAGGAGUCACUCCACUGAUUACUUUUACAUGAAAAAUGUUACAUAAAUAUAAAAUUAUGAAAAUAAAAACAACAUUUUGGAGAUGUAAGACACAUUUCCAUAUUUUCUAUACAGAA